UGUUAGGGAGGGGAAAGGCAUUGC
rnacentral:miRNA from 1 species